CUCUCCCUGCACGAGCUCGGGCAGGUGCUCCGGCUGCCUCACCUGCUCUGAGUAGCUUGGGCGCCCAGGCAGCGCUUGUACAGGUCCCUUACCGAGACGGCGCUUGCUUGGCACCCAGUAGCUCUGUGGUGAGUUCUGCCCCACUUUCGGCCUUUUUCCGUCCUGACCACACACCUGGGAAUGCCAGCAGUGGGUGCGCCGAGAGGGGCGGGGAGACGUAAUUGCCUGAACUCUUUCCCUUCCAUUUGGACCAUUUCGGUUUAAUUCCUGGAUCCCCGGUAGUUGAGGCCCCUUGUUAAAUUCAUUUAGGAAAAGGAAGCGGCUCACCGGCCUGUGCCUCAAUGAGCCUGAAACCUCAGAACCCGCAAAGCCCCAGGUGUCCGGCUGUUUAGACCCAAGGGCCGCAUCCUCUUGGCCAUCCUCUCUGGUUCAUCAGGGCUCCUUGCGAUCAAAUGGAAUGCCACCCGUGUUCAGACGAGGGGCGAGCGUGUCGCCAAGGCGUCCGGCGCCAGGGGCGGCCAGGCGGGCACGGCGACACGAGGCUGUCCAGGAGGGCAGCAGCGAAUGUCACCCACACGGCUCCACGAACACCGCAGGACGGCCAGCCUCGGCAGGAACAGGGCAAAUCCAAACCACGCGCCACCUGGUAAAGCAGGCGGAAGCAGCACAGCCCCAAUCUGAUCACGAGGAACCAUCAGGCAGCCCCAAAGAGACCAUUCUACGCAGUAAGCGGCCCGUAACAUUUAAGCGUGACAAGGCCACAGAAGGCAAGGAAAGACUGAGAACCGACCCACCUCGAGGGAGGCUAAAGAGACACGACAACCAAACGCAUUAAAAAAAUAGCAAGUGUGUUUCUGAACUGGAUGCUUUUGCUAGAAAGGCUAUUUUGGGGACAGCUGGUAAAAACCAAAAGGGCUGACGAUUAGAUGUUUGCAACGUGUCAUUUGCUGAUCGUGAUGGCUGGAUGGCUUAUAUAAAGGAGAGGGUUGCCCUUGUUUCCAUGAAAUACAUCCUUAAGUAUGCAAGGGAGGGUCACGUCUGCAAAUUCACUGCAAAUGGUCCUGUGGAAAAAACCCUCUUUGUACUGUACUUGUAAAUUUCUGUAAUUCUGAGAUUGUUUCAGCAUUAUAAAAAAAAAUUAAUUUCAAAUUUUCCUCCUAAAAACUGCAUGCAUGCUUUGACUCAAUAAUUCCAAUGUCAGGAUUUCAUUCUGCACACAUAUUGGCAUACAUAUGUAUGUACAUACAUAACUGAUAUUUAUGGCAGAGUUAUUUUAAAAGAGUAAAUAUUGCAAACCAUUAAAGGACUGUGGAGGUUUGAAGUUAUAUGUUCCCCCCCAAAAAACGUAUUUUUCAACUUAAUCCAUUCCGGUGGGCAUGAGCCCGUUGUAAGGAGGGCCUUUGAUGAGGUUACUUCAGUUAAGGUGUGCCCCCUCCAUCAAGACGGUCUUAAUCCUACUUCUGGAGUCCUUUACAAAAGAAUGAAAUUCAGCCAGAGGGAGAAAAAGCCAAAGGAAGUAAGACACUGAAGAGGAACCCAGACGGAG
rnacentral:lncRNA from 1 species